CUUAACAUGUGUUAUAUAUUGUGUGUUUCUAUAAUGUGCAUUGGAGUCUGAACAUUUUGUCAUGGCAUACUAUUUGAAAUUUAGAAAUUAUGUUUUACUUUUAUUUGUUUUUGAAUUUUACAGAUUCUCAGAAUCCAGAAGUAUGGGUACAUUCGACAGCGUUCAACUUGGUGAUAUUUUGAGACAAUCAGAUUUAACGUCGAUGUCUGAUAAUGAAAAUGGAAGAGAUGAUGCGGAAUGGCCAAACUAUACGGAUAAUGGUGAUCUCAAAAUUGACCUAUCUUUGAACCAAUUAGUGAAUUUAAUGAGAAAAUUAAAAAGUCAGAAUAAGAUAGACCGUCAAGAUAGAAUUAAAAAACAAAUAUGCUACGUUCAAGAGCUGUGCUAAUGUAAAGUCAUAUUCAGUUUUUGUUUUGCAAUCUAAAUUCAUUUUCAGGAGCAUUGAACAACUUUCCCUGCUUUUCAAUAUUACAAUUUUACUGUUCCAUAGUGAGUUCUUCAUCUUAAACAUAAUAACGUCUUUUGAUGAAUUGUGUAGUUCAAUAUGACAGUAUUUGUCUGGUCAAAGUCAAAAUCAAAGGAACGCAAAAGGAAGACAUCCAAUCACCAGUAACUCAUGAACGUGGGAACUUGUCAUUACAGAUUUAUGGAAUUUCUUCUGUCGACUUUUAAUAAAAUCAACUGUAUGAAACCUU